UUAGCAUGGAAUAAUGGAAUAGGACGCGCGUUCCCAUUUUGUUGGUUUCUGAGAUCGCCGUAAUGAUUAAUAGGGAUAGUUGGGGGCAUUUGUAUUCCGUCGUCAGAGGUGAAAUUCUUGGAUUGCCGGAAGACAAACUAUUGCGAAAGCAUUUGCCAAGGAUGUUUUCAUUGAUCAAGAACGAAGGAAGGGGGAUCGAAAACGAUCAGAUACCGUUGUAGUCUCUUCUGUAAACUAUGCCAAUUGUGGAUCAGCCUAGGAUUUUUUAUGACUAGGUUGGCACCCGAAGAGAAAUCUUUAAAUGAGGUUCGGGGGGGAGUAUGGUCGCAAGGCUGAAACUUAAAGGAAUUGACGGAAGGGCACCACCAGGUGUGGAGCCUGCGGCUUAAUUUGACUCAACACGGGGAAACUCACCAGGUCCAGACACAAUAAGGAUUGACAGAUUGAUAGCUCUUUCUUGAUCUUGUGGUUGGUGGUGCAUGGCCGUUCUUAGUUGGUGGAGUGAUUUGUCUGGUUAAUUCCGAUAACGAACGAGACCUUAACCUGCUAAAUAGACCAGCCGGCUUUGGCUGGCUGCUGUCUUCUUAGAGGGACUAUCAGCGUUUAGCUGAUGGAAGUUUGAGGCAAUAACAGGUCUGUGAUGCCCUUAGAUGUUCUGGGCCGCACGCGCGCUACACUGACAGAGCCAGCGAGUCUACCACCUUGGCCGGAAGGCCUGGGUAAUCUUGUGAAACUCUGUCGUGAUGGGGAUAGAACAUUGCAAUUAUUGUUCUUCAACGAGGAAUACCUAGUAAGCGUGAGUCAUCAGCUCGCGUUGAUUACGUUCCUGCCCUUUGUACACACCGCCCGUCGCUACUACCGAUUGGAUGGCU
rnacentral:rRNA from 1 species